AAAUGAAUUGACGGGGGCCCGCACAAGCAGUGGAGUAUGUGGUUUAAUUCGAAGCAACGCGAAGAACCUUACCGGGGCUUGACAUCCUGCGAAUCCUUCAGAGAUGAGGGAGUGCCUUCGGGAACGCAGAGACAGGUGGUGCAUGGUUGUCGUCAGCUCGUGUCGUGAGAUGUUGGGUUAAGUCCCGCAACGAGCGCAACCCCUGUUGAUAGUUGCUACGCAAGAGCACUCUAUCGAGACUGCCGCUGACAAAGCGGAGGAAGGUGGGGACGACGUCAAAUCAUCAUGCCCCUUAUGUCCCGGGCUACACACGUACUACAAUGGCCGUUAACAGAGGGCUGCUAAGCCGCGAGGUGGAGCAAAUCCCCAAAAACGGUCUCAGUUCGGAUUGUAGGCUGCAACUCGCCUACAUGAAGUCGGAAUUGCUAGUAAUCGCGAAUCAGAAUGUCGCGGUGAAUACGUUCCCGGGCCUUGUACACACCGCCCGU
rnacentral:rRNA from 1 species